UUUUUUAUGAGUUUUGACGCUGAGUUGAGAGACUGACAUUCAACAAAGUGACAGUUAAACCAUGGUUAAACUGACACAGAAUGGCGAGUUUGGAUACUGAGUUUUAUGCAUCUGGAAUGGGUGAGACUCAACAGACUGUGGACUGGUGUUGGGCGCUUCAAUACCAAGAUGUGAAUGUGGAACCUUACUGAGGAUCCAGCCUGUGACUCGCGUAAUCAUACCAUCAUAUUAACCAGCAACAUCUCAUGCGUACCUCAGGCAUAUUUAGUUAAGAUGUGUACUCUCUGGGCACUACACUGCAUGUCCUGUUCCCUCCCUAUCUUGCGGCUUAACGGUGCUACU